UACGUAGGUGUCGAGCGUUAUCCGGAAUUACUGGGCGUAAAGGGCACGCAGGCGGCUGCUUAAGUCCGACGUGAAAGCGCCCGGCUUAACCGGGCGAGGUCGUGGGAAACUGGGCAGCUUGAGACAGAGAGAGGAAGGCGGAAUUCCCGGUGUAGUGGUGGAAUGCGUAGAGAUCGGGAAGAACACCCGUGGCGCAAGCGGCCUUCUGGCUCUGGGCUGACGCUGAGGUGCGAAAGCGUGGGGAGCGAACGGGAUUAGAAACCCCAGUAGUCC
rnacentral:rRNA from 1 species